rnacentral:rRNA from 1 species
UCCCAGCAGUCCAAGUUGCAGCCAACUUUAUUAGGUCUAAAACAUCCGUAGCUUGUCUGACAAGUUCUUUGUGAAAUCUGGCAUCUUAAGUGUCGGGCGCGCAAAGAAUACUGUUGGGCUAGGGACUGGUAGAUGUAAAGAGUAUGCUUGAGGUAGUGGUAAAAUACGUUAAUCUUAGGCAGACUAACAAUCGAGCGAAGGCACUUUACAAGGACGGAUCCGACAGUGAGGGAUGAAGGCUAGGG